GUUUCCAAUUUUGAGGAAAAUGUGAAGACAAAACAUCCUGAGUUGCUGUAUGAAUCCAAGUUGUAUAGGAUCCUAGCUACAAGGAGGAACUGGGAUACCAAAUGUGCGGUGGUUUGGAGUUGAAGGAGAUUAUAACGUUUUGGUAAUGGAUUUGCUGGGUCCUAGUCUUGAAGACUUAUUUAACUUCUGUAGUAGGAAACUUUCUUUGGAGACAGUUAUGCUGGCAGAAGACAGUUAUGCUGGCAGAUCAAAUGGUAUACAUGAUUGAUUUUGGUCUGGCUAAGAAAUACCCGUCAACAUAUUCCUUAUAGAGAAAACAAGAAUUUGAUUGGAACAGCAAGAUAUGCAAGCAUGAACACCCACCUUGGGAUUGAGCAAAGCCGGGGGGAUGAUUUGGAAUCUCUUGGUUACGUCCUGAUGUACUUCCUUAAGGGAAGGGGCGGGACAUGUAUGUUAUGGUGAGCUACUUGAUGGGAAUUCUGGAAGUUUACUUAGUACUGAGUAUGUGGUUGUCAAGUGAAUUUAACACUUUUCAGAACCUGAAGAAUUUUUUACUUAAUGUCCCUGCAUUUGAUAAUGUUGAUAGUUUGACCAUUUCUUCAACUUCUA